rnacentral:rRNA from 1 species
CGUACACGGUGGAUGCCCUGGCAGUCAGAGGCGAUGAAGGACGUGCUAAUCUGCGAUAAGCGUCGGUAAGGUGAUAUGAACCGUUAUAACCGGCGAUUUCCGAAUGGGGAAACCCAGUGUGUUUCGACACACUAUCAUUAACUGAAUCCAUAGGUUAAUGAGGCGAACCGGGGGAACUGAAACAUCUAAGUACCCCGAGGAAAAGAAAUCAACCGAGAUUCCCCCAGUAGCGGCGAGCGAACGGGGAGGAGCCCAGAGCCUGAAUCAGUGUGUGUGUUAGUGGAAGCGUCUGGAAAGGCGCGCGAUACAGGGUGACAGCCCCGUACACAAAAAUGCACAUGCUGUGAGCUCGAUGAGUAGGGCGGGACACGUGGUAUCCUGUCUGAAUAUGGGGGGACCAUCCUCCAAGGCUAAAUACUCCUGACUGACCGAUAGUGAACCAGUACCGUGAGGGAAAGGCGAAAAGAACCCCGGCGAGGGGAGUGAAAAAGAACCUGAAACCGUGUACGUACAAGCAGUGGGAGCACGCUUAGGCGUGUGACUGCGUACCUUUUGUAUAAUGGGUCAGCGACUUAUAUUCUGUAGCAAGGUUAACCGAAUAGGGGAGCCGAAGGGAAACCGAGUCUUAACUGGGCGUUAAGUUGCAGGGUAUAGACCCGAAACCCGGUGAUCUAGCCAUGGGCAGGUUGAAGGUUGGGUAACACUAACUGGAGGACCGAACCGACUAAUGUUGAAAAAUUAGCGGAUGACUUGUGGCUGGGGGUGAAAGGCCAAUCAAACCGGGAGAUAGCUGGUUCUCCCCGAAAGCUAUUUAGGUAGCGCCUCGUGAAUUCAUCUCCGGGGGUAGAGCACUGUUUCGGCAAGGGGGUCAUCCCGACUUACCAACCCGAUGCAAACUGCGAAUACCGGAGAAUGUUAUCACGGGAGACACACGGCGGGUGCUAACGUCCGUCGUGAAGAGGGAAACAACCCAGACCGCCAGCUAAGGUCCCAAAGUCAUGGUUAAGUGGGAAACGAUGUGGGAAGGCCCAGACAGCCAGGAUGUUGGCUUAGAAGCAGCCAUCAUUUAAAGAAAGCGUAAUAGCUCACUGGUCGAGUCGGCCUGCGCGGAAGAUGUAACGGGGCUAAACCAUGCACCGAAGCUGCGGCAGCGACGCUUAUGCGUUGUUGGGUAGGGGAGCGUUCUGUAAGCCUGUGAAGGUGUGCUGUGAGGCAUGCUGGAGGUAUCAGAAGUGCGAAUGCUGACAUAAGUAACGAUAAAGCGGGUGAAAAGCCCGCUCGCCGGAAGACCAAGGGUUCCUGUCCAACGUUAAUCGGGGCAGGGUGAGUCGACCCCUAAGGCGAGGCCGAAAGGCGUAGUCGAUGGGAAACAGGUUAAUAUUCCUGUACUUGGUGUUACUGCGAAGGGGGGACGGAGAAGGCUAUGUUGGCCGGGCGACGGUUGUCCCGGUUUAAGCGUGUAGGCUGGUUUUCCAGGCAAAUCCGGAAAAUCAAGGCUGAGGCGUGAUGACGAGGCACUACGGUGCUGAAGCAACAAAUGCCCUGCUUCCAGGAAAAGCCUCUAAGCAUCAGGUAACAUCAAAUCGUACCCCAAACCGACACAGGUGGUCAGGUAGAGAAUACCAAGGCGCUUGAGAGAACUCGGGUGAAGGAACUAGGCAAAAUGGUGCCGUAACUUCGGGAGAAGGCACGCUGAUAUGUAGGUGAAGUCCCUCGCGGAUGGAGCUGAAAUCAGUCGAAGAUACCAGCUGGCUGCAACUGUUUAUUAAAAACACAGCACUGUGCAAACACGAAAGUGGACGUAUACGGUGUGACGCCUGCCCGGUGCCGGAAGGUUAAUUGAUGGGGUCAGCGCAAGCGAAGCUCUUGAUCGAAGCCCCGGUAAACGGCGGCCGUAACUAUAACGGUCCUAAGGUAGCGAAAUUCCUUGUCGGGUAAGUUCCGACCUGCACGAAUGGCGUAAUGAUGGCCAGGCUGUCUCCACCCGAGACUCAGUGAAAUUGAACUCGCUGUGAAGAUGCAGUGUACCCGCGGCAAGACGGAAAGACCCCGUGAACCUUUACUAUAGCUUGACACUGAACAUUGAGCCUUGAUGUGUAGGAUAGGUGGGAGGCUUAGAAGUGUGGACGCCAGUCUGCAUGGAGCCGACCUUGAAAUACCACCCUUUAAUGUUUGAUGUUCUAACGUUGACCCGUAAUCCGGGUUGCGGACAGUGUCUGGUGGGUAGUUUGACUGGGGCGGUCUCCUCCUAAAGAGUAACGGAGGAGCACGAAGGUUGGCUAAUCCUGGUCGGACAUCAGGAGGUUAGUGCAAUGGCAUAAGCCAGCUUGACUGCGAGCGUGACGGCGCGAGCAGGUGCGAAAGC